rnacentral:rRNA from 1 species
GACAGAGGAUGCAAGUGUUAUCCGGAAUUAUUGGGCGUAAAGCGUUUGUAGGUGGGAUUCUCAGUCCUUAGUAAAAUCUUUAAGCGCAGUUUAAAGUUAGCAAAGGAUACUAGUUUUCUUGAGCAUGGUUAAGGUUUGGGGAAUUUCCAGUGAAGCGAUAAAAUGCGAAGAGAUUGGAAAGAACACCAGUAGCGAAGGCACUUUGCUAGACUAUAGCUGACACUGAGAAACGAAAGCUAAGGGAACAAACGGG